AUAAUGUAAUGCACACAUUUAUAAAAUUCGUAUUUCUUAACCAAGUGUUUGCUGAAAUGUUGAGUUACAAACAAAAACUUACUGUUUGGAUGUUGAUGCAUUCUCUUCUUGUUGUUGUAGAAGAUUAAUGAAUGGACUAAAACAGUUUUGCCCACGCCACAACUCAAAAGGAAAUGCGUGUUUGUUAUGCUGUUUUGUGCUACGAAACAAAAGCACAUGAAUAGGACACACUUGUACUUGCUAAUUAGCAAGUGAUAAUGUUCAUCUUUCCCAGUGCAUGUGAAGGCAGCAUCAAAUCUGUUGGAGGACUGGCAACCUUUUAAUUUUCACAAUGGCGUACAACAAGUUGCCGUCACCGAGCUGCUCGUGACAUUAGGGACGACGGUGGUCCUGCUUUGGCCUUUUCGCCUUCUUCCGCCACCUCCCCGAUCACUGUCUUUAACGCCUUUCGAGUUUUCCAGCUGGCCCCGUUUGGAUUUCUUCUCUGAUGAGACAAAAAUAGGGACUCCACUGGGUCCACUCGGACAGUUGACACUCUGGAAAUGAAGAGGAACAAUAAUGGGACUCCCAGAAGACACGACUACCUCGACCAUGGGUGGUCUUCCCCGCUAGCACGAUAAUGAAAGAAAAUGAGGACCAUAUUAGGUUGUUGUUCUUGGUAAGUAUUGUGCCAGUGGUGCAUCAUAACAUUCCAAGACAACAACAGUGUUAAUCAAAAGCCAUCAUUAUUUGAUCGUUAAGAUAAUUAUUUCUCCAUGCAGUGAUUCUCGUAAGUGAAAGCACUUAAUGUCAUUAAGAAUUUGUUGGCAUGUAUGUUCA